rnacentral:rRNA from 1 species
UUAAAUUGAAGAGUUUGAUCAUGGCUCAGAUUGAACGCUGGCGGCAGGCCUAACACAUGCAAGUCGAACGGUAACAGGAAGCAGCUUGCUGCUUUGCUGACGAGUGGCGGACGGGUGAGUAAUGUCUGGGAAACUGCCUGAUGGAGGGGGAUAACUACUGGAAACGGUAGCUAAUACCGCAUAACGUCGCAAGACCAAAGAGGGGGACCUUCGGGCCUCUUGCCAUCGGAUGUGCCCAGAUGGGAUUAGCUAGUAGGUGGGGUAACGGCUCACCUAGGCGACGAUCCCU